rnacentral:lncRNA from 1 species
AACAGAACUUAGCCUGGAGCGUGUGUAACGUAAGUCAGCAGGUCUGAACCUUAGACUGUCUGGACCACCUCCUCAUCGCAGAGGUGGCGAUGCUGGGCCUGCCCUGCUCACACGGCUGAAGAGUAUCACUGGGAAGGAAGUGGGCUCGUGAGAUAAUCCAAUCCAGUGCUUCCCAGCCUUUAAUGAGAAAUGGUAAACCAGUGUGAGGAAGAGCACGGAUUCUGGAGUCAGACGGCCGUCCAGUGAUGGAAUUCUGGCUCUGCCACUAUCAGCUGUCCUGCAUGAAGGGAUUCCUUAGGAUCUGUCUUCCUGGGGAGCACCACACUGCAGGUCAUGAUGAAGGUAUAUUUGCAAAGGCAGGAGGAUAUGGACAUAUUUAUCAGUUUGGUGAGCAACUUUUAAAUAUUUAAACCUAUGGUGCGUGGGCCUCCAUGUGCGCUCUUGCCUGGGGCCCCGCAAAUGUUAGGGGCACAACUGACUGCUACAAUUGUAUAUGUUUUUCAUUGCAUCAGCCACUCUAUGGAAGAUCCCAUAUUCUACCACGUUGAAUAUCUGCUCUUUCCCAAGAGUCAUAUUUACAUGGCUU